ACUGAGAAAAAAAUUGUCAGCCAGUGAGAGAAGGUCCUUCACGCCUGAUUCGGUGCAAAAUUCCCUCCACCUUCUCCACCCAUGACUUGCCCUGUCCUCGACCCGGACCCGGAUUUAUAAAUUCCCAUUUCUCGGGAGAUUACCAGUAUUUGCACCACACUUCGUGAAAUUUGUGCCCGCAUCAAAGGAUGACAAUUUCUUCGGGUGAAAACAGGUGAGGUUAUGCAAAUAUUCUCUCUUUUCGUGCUUUGAUUCAAAUAUAUGUUUCUUCCUUCUGUGAUAGAAUAUUAGAAUAUAAACCAUCUUUCACUCUUUUUUAUAUUUUUUAUUUUAUUUUAUUGGAAUGAAUUUAAAUGGCCAUUAGCUUAUAGAUCGUUGAAUUUCGGUUAAAUUUGCUACAUUCUCGUGUAAUAACUUGAAAAUGUUGAAAGUUUGACGCCUGGCCAUUUCAUUUACGUAGGCCUAUUUAACUUCAAAUCUCUAUCGGAAAAUCGAAUUUGUUUUACAAUUACGUUUCUCUGAUGUUUCUGUUGCCAGUUUGUUUAAUUAGUUCAUCCGGCUUCAUUUCAGGUCCACCACGUGCUUUUUUCGAUUUCUAUGGGUCUCCUGUUUCUUUCGACUAUGUCUGCAUAUACUUUUUUUUCUUUAACUAUGUUUGCUUAUGUCAAUUAUAUUAAUUUUUUCACGGAUACCCUAUGAUUUUACUAUCAAUGUGAAUACCAAAUGACUUUAUUCUAAAUCCUUAUGCUGCCUGAAUAUCUCCAUUUGCAAAUUCCAUUUUCUGCCUGAUGGAUUUAAUCACGGUUUGAAGAUGCUAAAUGUGAGGAGAAAUUUUGAUACCACGAAUAUCGUUCUCACCUCUGAUAGAGCUGAAAAUGAUUUUUCUUAAGCACCAACAAUCUGUGUGGUAAUUGGUUACCAAGGAAGUGAUCAGAAGAAUGUUUUCGAAAUCAGUGAUGUCAAUUUUGUUAGUUCUUAUUGUAUAAAGAAGAUUGAGGUUCUCUACAGCUAUUUUGCCGUGGUUACAAAAUUUUGUAAAAGUUGUACUCCGAAUUGGAUGCUUUUUUGAUCAAGAGAAUAAUCUAUUUAUGUUAUUGGUUGAAAACAGUUAAAGGAGAACUUAUUGAUGCCUUUUUCUCUUAAACAGCACUUGUUCUCUGUCUCAACUUGCUCCUGUCGAGGCAGUGCUAUUUGAUGUUGAUGGAACUUUGUGCGAUUCAGAUCCCCUCCACUAUUAUGCUUUCCGUGAAAUGCUUCAGGAGGUGUGACUAUUUUUUGUCAUUUACUUUUAUAAUGAUAUUGCCAAUCAGACAUCGUCAUGCAUGGAGAAAAAAUAGAUUCUUUUCUCGUAAAGCGCUUGUUGAUUAUGUAGAUACAUUAAAAACACCUAACUAGUUUCAAUGCAUCUCAUCAAUGCUCUACGGGGUUUUUAAAAAUGCUGAGAUAUUUAACAGAUUGGCUUCAAUGGUGGCGUCCCAAUUGAUAAGGAAUUCUUUAUCAUGAAUAUUGCUGGAAGGCACAAUGAUGAUAUUGCUUCUAUUCUUUUCCCUCAUGAUUAUGAAAAGGGUGUAAAACUUUGUGAUGACAGGGAAGCUAUGUUCAGAAGGUGAAUUUUAUUGUUCUCCUUUAUUUAAUGCAACUUUUUCCUUAACCUGCCUUUACUAAUAUUUUUUUUUGAGUGAAACUAAAGGUUGGCUAAGGAGCAGUUGAAACCUGUAAAUGGUUUGUACAAAUUGAAAAAAUGGAUAGAAGACCGUGGUCUGAAACGAGCCGCUGUUACUAAUGCUCCUAGACCAAAUGCUGAACAGAUGAUCUCAACUCUUGGACUGUCAGAUUUCUUCCAUACUGUAGUUGUUGGAAGUGAUUGUGAACAUGCUAAACCAUUCCCUGACCCCUAUUUGAAGGCGCUUGAAAUUCUCAAUAUCUCCAAGGAUCACACAUUUGUAUUUGAGGUUUGACCUCAUCCACACUCUUUCAAUGUCGGUAUUACUUCAUAAAAUUUAUAUAUCUUUUGGUUGUCUAGGAUUCCGUUACGGGAAUAAAAGCGGGGGUUGCAGCGGGGAUGCCUGUUAUUGGCUUGAUGACAGGAAAUCCUGCACACUUGCUGAUCGAAGCAAAGCCUUCUUUUCUAAUUAGAGAUUAUGAAGAUCCAAAGCUUUGGGACGCUUUGGAAGAGCUUGAUAGAAUUGGUAGUGUGACAAAAGGUGCAGCUUAAACCAUGCAUAUAUUGCUUAUGAACCAGGGAGAAUCCCCCCUAUCAAGUUCAGUUCAGUUUGAUGGCUAUUUUGUAGGAGAGUUUUUUCAUUUAUCUCAUUUUCUCAUUUUGAAUCUCAGUACAAGGCAUGAUCUAGUUGAUCAGUAUUGAAAUUCCCAAGUGGAAUAAUAAUUUGGGGUUUGUAGUCAUGUUAUGAUUUUUGAGAACAUUUUC
rnacentral:lncRNA from 1 species